UAUUUCUUUACUGCCCACAAGAGGCUAAACAUAGAGGGGACAAACAAGGACAGACAAAGGGAUUAAAUCGACCCCAGUGCAAAACUGGUACUUUAUUUACCGACCCCGAAAGGAUGAAAGGCAAAGUCGACCUCGGCGGAAUUUGAACUCAGAACGUAACAACAGACGAAAUACCGCUAGGCAUUUCGCCCAGCAUGCUAACGUUUCUGCCAACUCAGUAAGAAAAAGAUAAGUCAUAUCAAGAGAACAAAUUUUGCUCCAGCCAACGGAUCAAGGCAUGAUGGCUAACUUCAAGGCAUAUUAUCUGAGAAGAACUUUCAAGCAAAUUAUGAAAGAACUGAAAGGGAGGAUAACCUUGCAGAUAGAGACUUCUGGAAAAUGUUCAACAUAACUGGCCCUCCGUCAGUUACAGCAAUGAGUGUUCCAGUUGAUUUAAUCAAUGGAACAGCUUGCUCAGGAAAUUAACAUGCAAGUGGCUAAGCAAUACACAGGUGCAUGAACCCUUUAUGUAGUUCUAAGGGAGCUUCAGUGUAACCCAGAAUGUGACAAGGCAGGCCCUUUGUGGGAUUUGAACUCAGAGUGAAGAGGGUCAAGACAAAUACACUGAAGUAUUCUGUCUGACACUUCAACAACUGCGCCAGUUCGCUGCCUAUACCCAUUUCUUUAUUACCCACAAGGGGCUAAACAUAGAAGGGACAAACAAGGACAGACAUAGGUAUUAAGUCGAUUACAUCGGCCCAGUGCGUAACUGGUACUUAAUUUAUCGACCCCGAAAGGAUGAAAGGUAAAGUCGACCUCGGCGGAAUUUGAACUCACAACGUAACGGCAGACGAAAUACCGCUAAGCAUUUCGCUCGAUGUGCUAACAUUUCUGCCAGCUCGCUGCCUAUACCUUUGUAGUGACGCCAUCUUGGAAAUCUCCAGCACACGUAUGCAGGGUUGGAGUCUUCCGGGAGGCCUGCCGAAAGUUCCCUCAUGUGCAUGCACAGAAAACUAGCAGCAGCAAAAUUCUCUUGUAUCACUCUCUUGGACACCAGCAACUGAACAAGACAGACGUGUCUCCAUCGGCUCUCUCGAGCUGCUACCUCAUGGCACCUCUCUGCUAUGCUUGAAUGGGCAGGAUUGAUUCACUCCACUUGACUACUGCCGAUAAGCUCCUAGGCUGCCGAUUCGCCCAGAGGAAGGAAAUGUUUAUAUUGCAAAUCAAAGAAUAAAUAUUUAUACUGUUGAAGUUAAUCGGAAGUCUUGACUCUUUCUUCGAUUAAUAUUUAAUGUAAAGGAUGCGAGCUGCACCCAUCCAGUGCAGGGAUCUCUCAUCCUGUUACACCUUUUUACAAUACUGAUUUCAAAUUUUGGCACAAGGACAGCAGUUUCAGGAGAAGGGCUUAGUCGAUUACAUCAACCCCAGUGCUCAACUGGUACUUAUUUUAUUGACCCCAAAAAGAUAAAAAACAAA
rnacentral:lncRNA from 1 species